rnacentral:rRNA from 1 species
CUACGGGAUGCAGCAGUGGGGAAUAUUGGGCAAUGGGCGCAAGCCUGACCCAGCAACGCCGCGUGAGGGAAGAAUGUCUUCGGAUUGUAAACCUCUGUCCUUGGGGACGAAAAAAAUGACGGUACCCAAGGAGGAAGCUCCGGCUAACUACGUGCCAGCAGCCGCGGUAAUACGUAGGGAGCAAGCGUUGUCCGGAAUUAUUGGGCGUAAAGGGUGCGUAGGCGGCGCUGUAAGUCAGAUGUGAAAUCCCCGGGCUUAACUCGGGAGUUGCAUUUGAAACUACAGUGCUUGAGUAAAGAAGGGGUAAGUGGAAUUCCUAGUGUAGCGGUGGAAUGCGUAGAUAUUAGGAGGAACACCAGUGGCGAAGGCGACUUACUGGUCUUUUACUGACGCUGAGGCACGAAAGCGUGGGGAGCAAACAGGAUUAGAACCCCAGUAGUC